AUGGAGUCCGUACCAAAGGAGGAGAUUGGAGGGUGGAGAGGGAGUGACUGCAAGCUUCGAUCGCGAGGGCAGAGAGAUGACAGGGAGACGAAGCCGCUGCUUCUCCUUCCUCGUCUCAACAUCCACCGCCGCCAAACAACCUCACCUUCCAUCCCGCGAACCCAGCCCCACCACCAUUUUGCUCCGGAAAUGAGGAGGUUCGUCCGGUCAGCGAAGCGGAUAUAUCUUGGGGUGGAUGAGAGCUACACCUUACUCGUGACGAAGAGUGAUGGCAAAUCCAUGAUCGGAGAGGCGACAAUUGAGGCAAAUACUGUUUAUGGUGCAUUACGAGGAUUGGAGACAUUCAGCCAAUUAUGUACCUUUGAUUAUAGUACAAAGUUGGUACUUGUGCACAAGGCUCCAUGGUGUGUCCGAGAUGAGCCAAGGUUUGCAUAUUGUGGACUACUACUUGAUACCUUGAGGCACUGCUAUCCUGUCGAUGUGAUUAAGCAUAUACUGGAUUCCAUGUCAUAUGCUAAACUAAAUGUCCUUCAAUGGCACAUGAUAGACGAACAGUCAUUUCCUCUGGAAGUGCCUACCUAUCCUAAGUUGUGGCAAGGGGCGUAUACAAAAUGGGAGCGAUAUACAGUUGAGGAUGCAUAUGAAAUAGUGAACUUUGCCAAAAGUAGAGGAAUCCAUGUGAUGCCUGAAGUAGAUGUCCCUGGUCAUGCAGAAUCAUGGUAUCCUGAAUUAUGGCCUUCUAAAUCCUGUAGAGAGCCACUUGAUGUUUCUGAAAGUUCUACUUUUGACUUAAUUUCUGGCCUAUUAUCAGAUAUGAGAAAAAAUUUCCCCUUUGAGCUGUUUCACUUGGGUGGUGAUGAGGUUAACACAGAUUGUUGGACAUCCACCCCUCAUGUGAACCAGUGGCUCCAAAACCAUAACAUGACUGGCAAAGAUGCAUACAAGUAUUUUGUACUCAAAGCUCAAGAAAUUGCCAUUUCAAAAAAUUGGACCCCUGUCAACUGGGAGGAAACAUUUAAUGCAUUUCCCCAGAGCAUUAAUCCAAGGACAAUAGUACAUAACUGGCUGGGACCAGGUUAUGUCCAAAGGCUGUCGCAAAGGGCUUUAAAUGCAUUUUCAGCAGUCGAGGCGUUUGGUAUCUAGAUCAUUUAGAUGUGCCAUGGGAUCAAGUCUACACUGCAGAGCUCCUCGAAGGAAUAAGUGAUGCUUCCAAACAAAAACUUGUGAUUGGUGGUGAAGUUUGCAUGUGGGGGGAGACAGCCGAUACCUCUAAUGUCCAGCAAAUGAUAUGGCCUAGAGCUGCUGCUGCUGCAGUGAAGUUGUCUCUACAUCCCUUCACGUAUGAUCGGUCCCGAUGGUGAUCUCUUUUUUUGGGGUCAUGGCCAAUUACUUGUUAUCAUCAUCUCAUAAUCUGUAAAGCAGUUUCUCUAGAGUAAUAUAUAUCACAAAAAGGGGUCAAGUUGGAUAUCACCCAAUGGUGACCGAUUGGGUUGCAUGGAUUUUGAAGACAUACGGGGUAGCUGGGGGUUUUACCAUUUAUCCUUAAAGCCUUUUUGAUACUAUGUUUUGUGCUGAGGUAAUGAAUGGCGUAUAGUCCUUUCUCUUUCGGUGAAUGAACUAUAUCGUUAGAAAUCAGUCUUUUAAGUGAUCGAAAUGUAGAUGGAACAUACAAACAACUUUUGGCAUGGGAAAUGGCUGUCUGGGGUAAGGAACUGCUUAUGGCCUUUGAUUGUGUUUCCCCAACUCCCCAAACCUUAACUUGCCAGUUCAUGCAUUUUCUUCUCCUUUUCCAUUGGUGUAUCGCAUUUGUGCAAAUCCUCCUCAAACUCAUAGUAGCCCCCGGAAUGGUAUCUUUUUCUUGUCUUAGCUUUCUCUUCUUGGCGUGGCCAGGAGCGCUUGAAUGCUUAGUACUAGUUACAGGUGUAAUAUGCAAUGUUGUAGACAGACUACUUGAGGCUAAUAAGAAAUUGAACCAAUGCAA